UGGCCCUGCCGGGCAGCGACGAUGUUCCGAUCAAGCCCCUUCAGUUGUUGGCUCAAGCGCUCAAAGCCUUGGCCGACGUUGGUUUCUUGUGCUGAAUUCCUAAUCGAUGGCAACCUUUUGUCCACCAAAGUCCCGCACUCCUCCUUUCAUCCCGUCUCCGUAAGGGGACGAGGCGUGGGGAGGACAUCAAAGCCCCCGUCGUGUCUCGGCACCUGUGCUCCCCCGCUAGAUCGGGCUUGCCAGGGCCGUCGACCCACGACGUCGUGCUCGAUCUCUCGGAUGCGGAAAACCAAGCGGCCAUGAGGCCACGACCUCUGUUGCCCCUUUAGAAGAGCGUCUGACGCUCCCUGCAGACGACUGCCUGUCGGGUCUUGGCUCGGGGCCCGAGCGGUUCCGGAUCAUGCCCGAUCGGUGUCGACGAGGAAUGCUACCUGGUUGAUCCUGCCAGUAGUC
rnacentral:misc_RNA from 1 species